UGCUUAACACAUGCAAGUCGAACGGCAGCACUAUCUAGCUUGCUAGGUUGGUGGCGAGUGGCGAACGGGUGAGUAACGCGUAGGAAUAUACCUUAGAGACUGGGACAACUUGGGGAAACUCAAGCUAAUACCGGAUUAUGUCUUAGGACGAAAGCUGGGGACCUUAUGGCCUGGCGCUUUGAGAUUAGCCUGCGUCCGAUUAGCUAGUUGGUGGGGUAAGGGCCUACCAAGGCGACGAUCGGUAGCUGGUCUGAGAGGAUGGUCAGCCACACUGGAACUGAGAGACGGUCCAGACUCCUACGGGAGGCAGCAGUGGGGAAUAUUGGACAAUGGGGGGAACCCUGAUCCAGCUUUGCCGCGUGUGUGAAGAAGGCCUGAGGGUUGUAAAGCUC
rnacentral:rRNA from 1 species